rnacentral:lncRNA from 1 species
GCCCAGCCACAUUUUGUAAAGUGUGUACAGUAAGGAGUGGGCGAACAGGCUAUACUGAGUGUAAAGCGACAUGAGCUCGUGCUCCUGAGCGCGGGUCUCCAUGUCCCUCGCAAACUGCCCAGCUCGCAUCACAGCGCUCAUCCAUUGGGCAGCAGGUACCUAGAGUGUGUGUGUGUGUGUGUGUGUGUGUGUGUGUGUGUGUGUGUGUGUGUGUGUGUGUGUGUGUGUGUGUGUGUGUGUGUGUGUGUGUGUGUGUGUGUGUGUGUGUGUGCGUGCGUGCGCGCGCGCGCUCGAGCAUAUUUAUCGUAUUCGAUUGGACUCAGCACACCCGCCAUAUAAAUCAAUUAGUUUUGCAAUCAAACAUCAACAUUCAAUCGGACUCACAUCUCCAUAUAAAUCAAUCAGUUUUGCAACCAAACAUCAACAGCGCAGCCUAUAAGUGAUUAGUUUACACAACCACGCAAGGGCAAUCUUGACUAUUUCUACCCCCUUGCUGGCCACUUAUACAACCGCGAAUCCUUGGAAUAAGUGUUCAUUUAAUGUGCACGGUGUUACUGCACAGGGCAAAAAACAAAAACUAGUUGCGGUGAAGUAAAUUUUGUACGGUAUUCAGAUGGCAUGCACACAUGAGCAGAUGCACAGAGAGGAGCUGAGGUCAGCCAGGGAUAUGGUGCAAAUUUUUUUGUGCCAUGAUACGGUCCCGUGUUCGACUCAAGAAACAGGCUGGCAAGCUCCAGAAAAAGAAAAAAUGCUAAACACUCAACAAAGAAUCACCACUUGUUGCUGGUGCUGGCCCUGCUGCUGCCCAUAAUUUUUUAGUUUACACAAUCAAUCAAGAAAGCCCCCUACACAGAACACAGAGACAGUGUACCAACCCUCACCUCAUGCCCAAUCUGGUAAGUGGCGAAGUGCAGCGGGAAGUGGCGAUGUGAUUCCAGGGCCUCAAAACGCAGAUUGAGGAAGACGGCAUCUGCAAC